UGUGUGUGUGUGUGUGUGUGUGUGUGUGUGUGUGUGUAUAUAUAUAUACAGGCAAUACACACACACACAUACAUAUAUA